UCUUCCCGCAGAUUUAGGCUACUGGAAGAGUUUUUCCUUUGGUGGAAGGAGACUGAAGCCCUGCACCAAGGCAGUGCCUGGAGCAGCCUCUCCACAGUGACAAGUGUCUCCAGCAGCCAGUGCUUGACACAUGCACUCUGCGCAGCUGGGACCCGAAAUCCCUACGCAUAUUGCCAGUAAAGCUGCAGUGUGGACUUUGGGCCAAGGGACUAACAGCUUACAGGAUAUCAAAACCUCAUCCCUUGCUGCUGCACCAAGCAGGAGCAUGGGCCUGCAUCUACUCGAAGAUACAUGUGCAAAGCAGCAGGAGCUCUAGAGCCUUACAGCUUGUGUGAGCCACUGUGGUUAUUUUCUGCACAAUGCCAGCCUUGGAAUUAGACUGAUGCAAGUAGGGAGCUGGUGAUGCAACCUCAUCUUGGCAAAUGUUGCUGAAAUCUUGUGGUUGAAGGAACAACUGCUAAGAAAUGUAAGGAGCUUCUGUUGCCUGACAAAGGAAGGGGAUGAGAUAGUCAGCUAUCCUAGCAUAACCUUGGAAUAUUACUUGCCCGAAUCAUAGCCCAAGUGGAACAAUAUUUUUGUUACCAGACUUCUGAGGAAAACUCCAGUAAUUACCAUCUAGGAUUACAGCCAGGAUGGAAAUUGACAGAUGACUGGAGCCAAUCAUCUCGAGACUCUAUAAACAGGAGUGAGGCCCUUUGAGAUCCCCGGACUGCAGUGGGCUGUGAGCAGCAAUCUCCUUCUGACUGGGAUACCUCUCGGAGCUAGCACGCUCUCAAGUUCACAGUACUCAAUACUUGUUGUCAAAUGCUGGUGAUGGGGCCUGGGAUAUCCCCACUAGUCCUCAAGGCUCAGCCCUCACCUGCUGAGAGGUGCAGAAGCAACUGACUUGAGUAUUGCACUGAAGCAGUCCUCUUCAGGGUCGCCCUCCUCAGGGAGCCACGGAAUACUUGUUGCUCAUGCCUCCUGCGAGCCCUCCUCAGCUCCCAGAGCGUCGCUUUCCUUCUCCUGUGGGAUCCUCUAGGCUCUUGUGAUAGAUAUGAGACCUGAGAAGCCUUCAAAGAUUAUUACACUGAUUGGAAAGAUGGUGCAAAUCAGACUAUGGUAUCAUUGCUACGGCUCUGGAGUGUAUCUCUAACGUCCAAGAUACACUUGAGGGAAGUUAUUUUGUCUUCCUGACGACUCAUACAUGUGUGGAUCUUCACAGAAGCUUUCAUUUUUUUUUUUUUCCUGACUCAAUCAAGCAGCAGAAAUGCUGCCCUGUGAUUUACCCUGCUCUGUUGAAACAAACUUGUUUGCCUCUGGCAAGGAUUGCACAGUUACAAUGUCUGACCUAAAGUCGGAUGAAAAUUAAUGUCUUUGAGUGAAUUGGGAGGCAUCCUGCCAGCAAAAGUAACAUUAAAUCCAAUCAGCUGCACAGUGUCACUCAGAGGCAUGUUAAUAGCGAAGUUUAGAGGCUGCAUCCAGCGUGAAAGGGCUUUUGGGCUGCAACAAAAGCGGAAGCAGUCAAUAGCUGGUGAACUGCUGCUGCCUGGAUUUCUGCAUCUAUAUGGAGACGGACUGUUUUUUAAAAGUGUUUUUCAUUAGUGGCUUUGUGGAUUUAUUGAAGCAUUUGGGGUGACUUUUACCUGCCCCACAGUGGAUGUCUUUACCAUACUCCUGAGGAUUCGGUCAAUACCCCAACUCUCCUCUUCAGAGACCAACAGCUAAAGGCAAGGGCUCCGUGAGAAAGUCCAGGGCUUUCCAAAACUGCACAAAACCCUGAACUCUUCCAUGUAAGUAAAAACGGUAUAAACAACACCCCAAACUAGUGUUUGGAAGUAUUCAGGGAUGACUUGCAGUGGAAACCAGCAGGCAUCAACUUUUCAGCCCUCCUGGAAAUCACCUGUGUACCCCUUAAAUCUGACAGUGAACUUGAAGGGUAAAUAAUUAGACAGUAGUUUCUAAUACUGUCUAACAUGGCACAAACUAUGUUUCCUGAGAAAUCAAACUAUGUUUCCUGAGAAAUUCCCUCUGAUUUGCAUGAGCUGUGAAAACCCUUUCCUAGGCUCCAGAAGAAGAGAUCUGUGUCUUCCAUCUAAUGGCUCUUUUGUUUGAUUUAAUUCUCCUAUUAGCCAACAGCUGGAUGCAAACACACAGCAUUAGUGAGACAGAUUUGUAGCCACUUUGCUGACACACAUACUAAAACACAUGAUGCAGCAGUUUAGGAAACACCCUUCUUUGUGUCCAUUGGUAAUGAGGGGCCUUGCAACACUGCAAGCACUUAGACAU